GAGCCCGGUGAUGACAUCAGAUACAAUAGUAGCUUAGAUCGAGAAGCUGGUGCCGCAGCCGCAGGACGCGGUGGCAUUCGGAUUGACGACGCGGAACGAUGCGCCGAUCAGGGCAUCGACGANGACUUCCGAUCCGGCCAGGAACGGCACGGACGAGGGGUCCACCAGCACCACGGCAUUGUCACGUUCGAUCACAAGAUCGUCGUCCGCCUUGGCGCGCUCGACAUCGAAUUUGUACUGGAAUCCG
rnacentral:misc_RNA from 1 species